GGGGCUGUGGCUCAGUGGUAGAGUAUCAGCAUGGCAUGCAGAAGGUCCCAUGUUCAAUCCCCAGCAUCUCCA
rnacentral:tRNA from 1 species